rnacentral:rRNA from 1 species
UACAGGGGGGGCAAGCGUUGUUCGGAAUUACUGGGCGUAAAGGGCGCGUAGGCGGCGUGACAAGUCACUUGUGAAAUCUCUGAGCUUAACUCAGAACGGCCAAGUGAAACUGUUGUGCUAGAGUGCAGAAGGGGCAAUCGGAAUUCUUGGUGUAGCGGUGAAAUGCGUAGAUAUCAAGAGGAACACCUGAGGUGAAGACGGGUUGCUGGGCUGACACUGACGCUGAGGCGCGAAAGCCAGGGGAGCAAACGGG